UGACCAGACUCCUACGGGAGGCAGCAGUGGGGAAUAUUGCACAAUGGGGGAAACCCUGAUGCAGCGACGCCGCGUGAGUGAAGAAGUAUUUCGGUAUGUAAAGCUCUAUCAGCAGGGAAGAAAAUGACGGUACCUGACUAAGAAGCCCCGGCUAACUACGUGCCAGCAGCCGCGGUAAUACGUAGGGGGCAAGCGUUAUCCGGAUUUACUGGGUGUAAAGGGAGCGUAGACGGCAUAGCAAGUCUGAAGUGAAAGCCCGUGGCUCAACCGCGGAACUGCUCUGGAAACUGCGGCGCUGGAGUACGGGAGGGGCAGGCGGAAUUCCUGGUGUAGCGGUGAAAUGCGUAGAUAUCAGGAGGAACACCGGCGGCGAAGGCGGCCUGCUGGACCGUGACUGACGUUGAGGCUCGAGAGCGUGGGGAGCAAACAGGAUUAGAUACCCUAGUACAC
rnacentral:rRNA from 1 species